rnacentral:rRNA from 1 species
GAGUUUGAUCCUGGCUCAGAACGAACGCUGGCGGCGUGCCUAACACAUGCAAGUCGAACGAGAAAGUCCUUCGGGGCUAGUAAAGUGGCGCAAGGGUGAGUAACACGUGAAUAAUCUGCCCUCAAACCUGGGAUAACUUGGCGAAAGUUAAGCUAAUACCGGAUAAGACCACGUUUCGCAAGAAGCGCGGUAAAAGGAGUCUCAAACUUCAUUUGGGGAUGAGUUCGCGGACCAUUAGCUUGUUGGCGGGAUAAAAGCCCACCAAGGCUACGAUGGUUAGCCGGCCUGAGAGGGUGAUCGGCCACACUGGAACUGAGACACGGUCCAGACUCCUACGGGAGGCAGCAGUGGGGAAUAUUGCGCAAUGGGCGAAAGCCUGACGCAGCAACGCCGCGUGAGGGAUGAAGGCUUUAGGGUUGUAAACCUCUGUCGAAUGGGAAGAAUCAUGACGGUACCAUUAAAGGAAGCCCCGGCUAACUCCGUGCCAGCAGCCGCGGUAAUAAGGGCGA